rnacentral:rRNA from 1 species
AUUGAACGCUGGCGGCAGGCCUAACACAUGCAAGUCGAACGGUAACAGGAAGCAGCUUGCUGCUUCGCUGACGAGUGGCGGACGGGUGAGUAAUGUCUGGGAAACUGCCUGAUGGAGGGGGAUAACUACUGGAAACGGUAGCUAAUACCGCAUAACGUCGCAAGACCAAAGAGGGGGACCUUAGGGCCUCUUGCCAUCGGAUGUGCCCAGAUGGGAUUAGCUAGUAGGUGGGGUAACGGCUCACCUAGGCGACGAUCCCUAGCUGGUCUGAGAGGAUGACCAGCCACACUGGAACUGAGACACGGUCCAGACUCCUACGGGAGGCAGCAGUGGGGAAUAUUGCACAAUGGGCGCAAGCCUGAUGCAGCCAUGCCGCGUGUUUGAAGAAGGCCUUCGGGCUGUAAAGUACUUUCAGCGGGGAGGAAGGGAGUAAAGUUAAUACCUUUGCUCAUUGACGUUACCCGCAGAAGAAGCACCGGCUAACUCCGUG